rnacentral:rRNA from 1 species
AGGUUCGUAGGUGACCUGCGGAGGAUCAUUACCUGGCCUUGGGCCGCUCGGGGGAGCCAGUCGCUCGCGACGACGCUGCCUUGGGCGCUUAGCCCUUGACUAUCACCUUGACUACGUGCACCUUUUGUUGUUUCCUCGGCAGGUCCUCUGCCGCCAGGAACCCCCCAAACCCUUUUGCAACAGCAUCCAAACUUCUGAAAACAAACCAAAUCAUUUACAACUUUUAACAAUGGAUCUCUUGGUUCUGGCAUCGAUGAAGAACGCAGCGAAAUGCGAUAAGUAGUGUGAAUUGCAGAAUUCAGUGAAUCAUCGAAUCUUUGAACGCACAUUGCGCCCUUUGGUAUUCCAUUGGGCAUGCCUGUUCGAGCGUCAUUUCAACGCUCAAGCUCUGCUUGGUGUUGGGUGCUUGUUCUGCUUUCAUGUUUGAACUCACCUUAAAAUUAUUGGCAGCCGGCACUACGACUCCUAUACGCAGCAGAUUGCGCGAUUAGAAGUAGGCAGCUUGGUGUUCCAAAAAGACAUUCUCAGUUUGACCUCGGAUCAGGUAGGGAUACCCGCUGAACUUAAGCAUAUCAAUAAGCGGAGGA